ensembl:snRNA U1 U1 spliceosomal RNA
AUACUUACCUGGCAGAGGAGAAGCCGUGAUGAUGAAGGUGGUUUUCCCAGGUUAAAGCUUCUCCAUGACAUGUGAAUGUGCUGAUGUCUGUGGUUUCCCGAAUGCGGGAAACUCUACUGCAUAAUUUGUGGUAGAGGGGGACUGCAUUCGCACUAUCUCGUG